rnacentral:rRNA from 1 species
AUUGAACGCUGGCGGCAGGCCUAACACAUGCAAGUCGAACGAGUGGCGGACGGGUGAGUAAUGUCUGGGAAACUGCCUGAUGGAGGGGGAUAACUACUGGAAACGGUAGCUAAUACCGCAUACCAUCAGAUGUGCCCAGAUGGGAUUAGCUUGUUGGUGGGGUAACGGCUCACCAAGGCGACGAUCCCUAGCUGGUCUGAGAGGAUGACCAGGCACACUGGAACUGAGACACGGUCCAGACUCCUACGAGAGGCAGCAGUGGGGAAUAUUGCACAAUGGGAGUAAGCCUGAUGCAGCCAUGCAGCGGGUAAGAAAGAGGCAUUCGGGUUGUAAAGUACUUUCAGCGGGGAGGCGUUACCCGCAGAAGAAGCACCGGCUAACUCCGUGCCAGCAGCCGCGGUAAUUC